ACCACACUCACCCUUGCUAUCUGUGACACUUAUCAUAGCUGCUAAGCCGAUGCUAGGUGCUAAACCACGAGUCCGAUUUUGCGGACACCCUUUUGUACUGUUAAUGUUUCCUGGAAUCGAUGCACUAGAAAGUAAUCAACUAUCAUUGGACCUGUGUGAUUUUGAGUGCCAUCAAUGAUCACAGAGAUGACCAUCAUUAAAGUCUCACAGGGUCUGAGAGCAGGACAAGAGGCCCUCCUGGUUAGCUGUCUGAAGAGGUGAAAAAGACAAGCCUAUUACAUACAGCAACAAAGGAAAGAAGAACAAGCCAUAGCCUAAAAAGUCCAAUUUGUGCUGAUGGAUUGAACAUGUACGUGAAAUGUCUCUGACCAUUAUUUCAAAUGCAUUUUUGUCUGAAUGUCUGCAGGGGCGUGGAAUAAAAAGCUCUAGAAGCAAACGCAGUACACACAAGGAGUGCAUUGUGAUUUGUGUUGGAACAAACAUAUUUACAUGGAAUUAUUUUUUAAAAGUGACACAUCUGAGUGUUUGUUUUUUCCCUUCAGGUUGUCAAGUUUCCUCCCAGCUCCCAAAACCAUGUCAGUAUGUGGGUUGGCUAUAAGAUGCCCCUAGGUGUGAAUGUGUGCCACUGUGUAUGUUUGUAUCCCAUCCAGGGUUUAUUCCCACCUCAUGCCCAGUGUUCUGAGGAUAGGCUCUGGAUCCACUUUGACCCCGAUCAUGAUAAAGCACUGACUGAAGAUGAGUAAGGGUCGCUUGAGGAGCCUGGAGCCUAUCCCAGGGAACUCAGGGCACAGGACAGGGGUUCACCCUGGAUAGGGUGCCAGCCCAUCGCACAAGCACACACAUUCACACACUACGGAC
ensembl:lncRNA